AGCGAACGCUGGCGGCAGGCCUAACACAUGCAAGUCGAACGAACCUUUCGGGGUUAGUGGCGGACGGGUGAGUAACACGUGGGAACGUGCCUUUAGGUUCGGAAUAACUCAGGGAAACUUGUGCUAAUACCGAAUGUGCCCUUCGGGGGAAAGAUUAAUCGCCUUUAGAGCGGCCCGCGUCUGAUUAGCUAGUUGGUUGAGGUAAUGGCUCACCAAGGCGACGAUCAGUAGCUGGUCUGAGAGGAUGAUCAGCCACAUUGGGACUGAGACACGGCCCAAACUCCGACGGGAGGCAGCAGUGGGGAAUCUUGCGCAAUGGGCGAAAGCCUGACGCAGCCAUGCCGCGUGAAUGAUGAAGGUCUUAGGAUUGUAAAAUUCUUUCACCGGGGACGAUAAUGACGGUACCCGGAGAAGAAGCCCCGGCUAACUUCGUG
rnacentral:rRNA from 1 species